rnacentral:ncRNA from 2 species
AGAGGAAGCCGGUGCGAGUCCGGCGCGGUCCCGCCACUGUCACCGGGGAGCGGCUGUCGAACGCCUCCCGGGAGCCAGGAACUC